rnacentral:lncRNA from 1 species
AGUUUCAGUGUCUUCCUGUGGUCUGUGAAGAAGAGAAACUUAACAACAAGAAGAGGGAAAGGGAAGGAUGGUAAAUUAUCUGGAGGCUGUUUCAAUGACAUUAGUCGCCUAAGGAGAAGACACAGGAGUAAUGAGAAGACACAGGAGGUAGAGCAGCACUUGCUGACUCAGAAGCAUUAACAUGAAACGCUGGAGUGCAGGGCACAAUAAUGGUUGACUGCAGCCUCAACCUCCAGGGCUCAAGGGAUCCUUCCACCUCAGCCUCCCCAGUAGUUGGGAUUACACAGUUAUUCCACUGAUUGAAAUCUGUGAUACUUAAUAGCUCUUAUGUCUAAUCAUAUCAAUAUGCAGCUGGAUUGAUACACUCCUGCAGGUGGUUGGGGCUCCUUCACUGCCAUGUAUGUCCCUUUUGUUGCAGAUAUUUCAAGAUUCAGCAUCAUUUCAGACCCUGAAAAAUCCCUGAAAAUUGAAUUCUCAAUAGAUAAUGCAACUCCACAUAAUAUCUGGAUUUUGUAAAUGCUUGCUAAUAAAUUAUUUUACAACGUGGGUGAGUUUAGGUGUGUAGGUGAUUUCCACACAUUGAGAGCCAAAACAUCAAAUUUUAAUGUUGGUCUGGUGAAAGAGACAUAAUAUUUGAUGGUUCAUGAAGAAUACUACAACAUAAUAAGCAUUUUAGAUCCAGGGUUAUUUCUUUGUAUGACUUAUUUCCUUUUAUGGCCAUCAAUCCAAAUUUUAAAAAUAAUUUUUUAAUAUAUUUAAGAUGUUGUCAUGUGUCCUAAAAUGACAAAAAUAAAUUAGACACAUGUUUAAUCAUCAUUCCAGUUUGGUUUAUUCACUCAUAUUUUAUUGCAUAAAACAAGUCAAAUUAUUUAGCAUGAUGUCAAAGUCUUAAGUGUAAACCUCUUGGGGGAAACAGCAAAGAAUUGGGAAGAAUAUUACAGUCUAUCAUGUGAAUUUCAUCACCACAAUCAGAAACUAACACAAAACCCAGAAGAAACCCUAAGAAAGAUACCUGUAACCUGAAGAAGAUGUAGACUAGAUGCCAAAGACAGAGAAUGAUCUGAAUGGAAAAUUUUGCAGCUAAACUAUUUUCCCUUUUUUGUAUGUAUCAGGGCAAAACAGUGCCUAAUUUUCUCCUCAUUUUCUAUCAUGAGGCAAGAAAACACAUCUGUCAAAUGUGGCAGGGUAACCUCAGAGAAAAGCUGGAGACAAGCUAUGGUCAUAAAUGUAUGCUAAAUAGAUGGUUCAACAUAAGAAAAUGUAACAAGUUAAUUCAACACAUUCAUAGACUUGACUUCAAGAGAAAAUUUAGGCAGCAUUGCAAUAGAAGCAGAAACACAUUUGAAAAAGUCCAGUAUUUAUUUGUUAAAAACUCAUACCAAAUUGUAAAGAACAUUGAUGCUAUGAAGAAACUGCAUCAACUAGUGGGCAAAAUAAUCAGCUAGGCUUCAUAAUGGCAGGAUUAAAUGCAUACCUAACACUAUUAACCUUAAAUGUAAAUGGGCUAAUUGCCCCAAUUAAAAGACACAGACUGGCAAAUUGAAUAAAGAAUCAAGACCCAUCAGAGUGCUGUAUGCAGGAGACCCAUCUCAUGUGCAAAGACACACAUAGGCUCAAAAUAAAGGGAUGGAGGAAUAUUUACCAAGCAAAUGGAAAGCCAAAAAAAAAAAAAAAAAAAAUGCAGGGGUUGCAAUCCCAGUCUCUGAUAAAACAGACUUCAAACCAACAAAGUUCAAAAGAGACAAAUAAGGGCAUUACAUAAUGGUAAAGAGAUCAAUGCAACAAGAAGAAUUAACUAUCCAAAAUAUAUGCACCCAAUACAAGAGCACCCAGAUUCAUAAAGCAAGUUCUUAGAAACCUACAAAGAUACUUAGACUCCCACACAAUAAUAGUGGGAGACUUUAAGACACCACUGUCAAUAUUAGACAGAUCAACAAGUCAGAAUAUUAACAAGGAUAUCCAGGAUUUGAACUCAUCUCUGGAACAAGUGGACCUAAUAGACAUCUACAGAUCUCUCCACUCCAAAUCAACAGAAUAUACAUUCUUCUCAGCACCACACUGCACUUAUUCUAAAGUUGACCACAUCAUUGGAAGUAAAACACUUCUCAGCAAAUGCAAAAGAACGGAAAUCAUAACAAACUGUCUAUCAGACCACAGUGCAAUCAAAUUAGAACUCAGGAUUAAGAAACUCACUCAAAAUUGCACAACUACAUGGAAACUGAACAACCUGCUCCUGAAUGACUACUGGGAAAAUAACGAAAUGAAGGCAGAAAUAAAGAUGUUCUUUGAGACCAACAAGAACAAAGACACAACGUACCACAAUCUUUGGGACACAUUUAAAGCAGUAUGUAGAGGGAAAUUUAUAGUACUAAAUGCCCACAAGAGAAAGCAGGAAAGAUCUAAAAUCGCCACCCUAACAUCACAUUUAAAAGAACUAGAGAAGCAGGAACAAACAAAUUCAAAAGCUAGCAGAAGUCAAGAAAUAAGUAAGAUCAGAACAGAACUGAAAGAGAGAGAGACACAAAAAACCCUUCAAAAACUCAAUGAAUCCAGGAACAGGAUUUCUGAAAAGAUCAACACAAUUGAUAGACCACUAGCCAGACUUAUAAAGAAGAAAAGAUAGAAGAAUCUAAUAGAUGGAAUAAAAAAUGAUAAAGGGGAUAUCAACACCAAUCCAACAGAAAUAAAAACUAGCAUCAUAGAAUACUAUAAACACUUCUAUGCAAAUAAACUAGAAAAUCUAGAAGAAAUGGAUAAGUUCCUGGACAUAUACACCCUCCCAAGACUAAACCAGGAAGAAGUCGAAUCCCUGAAUAGACCAGUAACAAGUUCUGAAAUUGAGGCAGCAAUUAAUAGCCUACCAACCAAAAAAAAAGUCUAGGACCAGACGGAUUCACAGCCAAAUGCUACCAGAGGUACAAAAACGAGCUGGUACCAUUUCUUCUGAAACUAUUCUAAACAACAGCUAUCCCUAACUCAUUUGAUGAGACCAGCAUCAUCCUGAUACCAAAACCUGGCAGAG